AUUGAACGCUGGCGGCAGGCCUAACACAUGCAAGUCGAACGGUAACAGGAAGCAGCUUGCUGUUUUGCUGACGAGUGGCGGACGGGUGAGUAAUGUCUGGGAAACUGCCUGAUGGAGGGGGAUAACUACUGGAAACGGUAGCUAAUACCGCAUAAUGUCGCAAGACCAAAGAGGGGGACCUUCGGGCCUCUUGCCAUCGGAUGUGCCAAGAUGGGAUUAGCUAGCAGGUGGGGUAACGGCUCACCUAGGCGACGAUCCCUAGCUGGUCUGAGAGGAUGACCAGCCACACUGGAACUGAGACACGGUCCAGACUCCUACGGGAGGCAGCAGUGGGGAAUAUUGCACAAUGGGCGCAAGCCUGAUGCAGCCAUGCCGCGUGUAUGAAGAAGGCCUUCGGGUUGUAAAGUACUUUCAGCGGGGAGGAAGGGAGUAAAGUUAAUACCUUUGCUCAUUGACGUUACCCGCAGAAGAAGCACCGGCUAACUCCGUGCCAGCCGCCGCCGUAA
rnacentral:rRNA from 1 species